rnacentral:rRNA from 1 species
CAGCCGCCGCGGUAAUACGUAGGGUGCGAGCGUUAAUCGGAUUUACUGGGCGUAAAGCGUGCGCAGGCGGCCCGUUAAGACAGGUGUGAAAUCCCUGGGCUCAACCCAGGAAUUGCGCUUGUGACUGGCGGGCUCGAGUACGGUAGAGGGGGGUGGAAUUCCUGGUGUAGCAGUGAAAUGCGUAGAGAUCAGGAGGAACACCGAUGGCGAAGGCAGCCCCCUGGGCCUGUACUGACGCUCAUGCACGAAAGCGUGGGGAGCAAACAGGAUUAGAUACCCUGGUAGUCCACGCCCUAAACGAUGGGUACUAGCCGUUUGGUGCGCGAUAGCGCUGAGUGGCGAAGCUAACGCGUGAAGUACCCCGCCUGGGGAGUACGGCCGCAAGGUUGAAACUUAAAGGAAUUGGCGGG